rnacentral:rRNA from 1 species
UACGGGGGGAGCAAGCGUUGUUCGGAUUUACUGGGCGUAAAGGGCGCGUAGGCGGCCUGUGCAAGUCAGUUGUGAAAUCUCCGAGCUUAACUCGGAACGGUCAACUGAUACUGCUCGGCUAGAGUGCGGAAGGGGCAACUGGAAUUCUUGGUGUAGCGGUGAAAUGCGUAGAUAUCAAGAGGAACACCUGCGGCGAAGGCGGGUUGCUGGGCCGACACUGACGCUGAGGCGCGAAGGUCAGGGGAGCAAACGGG